rnacentral:rRNA from 1 species
ACUCUUGGGAUGGGACCUGCGGUGCAUUAGCUAGUUGGUAGGGUAACGGGCCGUACCAAGGCGAUGAUGCAUAGCCGAGUUGAGAGACUGAUCGGCCACAUUGGGACUGAGACACGGCCCGAACUCCUACGGGAGGCAGCAGUAGGGGAAUCUUCCACAAUGGACGCAAGUCUGAUGGAGCAACGCCGCGUGAGUGAAGAAGGGUUUCGGCUCGUAAAGCUCUGUUGUUGGUGAAGAAGGACAGGGGUAGUAACUGACCUUUGUUUGACGGUAAUCAAUUAGAAAGUCACGGCUAACUACGUGCCAGCAGCCGCGGUAAU